CUUGACCUUCCUCCUCCUCCUCCUUCUCCUUCUCCUCCUCCAGAGGAUGAACAGAGCCCAAUUUUUGAGCCCAUCAGGGUGAAUGGAAUCAUUGCUGUGAUCCUGGGAAUCUUCACCCUGCUGCUCUUGAUGUUGUGUGGAUUCUUUGGUUAUCAGUACUUUCAAACUGUUGAGGCAUCAGCAUCCAAGAUGAAGAUCUUUCACGAAUGGAUUGAGUCUUUACAAAACAAAACUGAAAAAUUUCUAAGGAUCCAAAAAG